rnacentral:misc_RNA from 1 species
UGGUUCUGGCAUCGAUGAAGAACGCAGCGAAAUGCGAUAAGUAAUGUGAAUUGCAGAAUUCAGUGAAUCAUCGAAUCUUUGAACGCACAUUGCGCCCUGUGGUAUUCCGCAGAGCAUGCCUGUUCGAGCGUCAUUUAUGACCACUCACGCCUGGCGUGGUGUUGGGGCUCGCGGUCUCGCGGCCCUCAAAUCCAGUGGCGGCGCCGGUGGGCUCUAAGCGUAGUAAAUCUCCUCGCUAUAGGGUCGCCCCGGUGGCUCGCCAGAACCCCGAACUUCUUAGGUUGACCUCGGAUCAGGUAGGGAUACCCGCUGA